UCUCCCGUGAGGGAGCAGUCUCGCCUGGUCCGAAGACAACAGGCAACGGGGGUUGCGUUCGUUACCCCACUGAAGGGAACAGUUCAAACCACGAACUGACGACGGCCAUGCAUCACCUGCCCAACACCCUCGAAGGCUACUCGCCUUUCAGCAAGUAUGCAGUUGGGUUUCAAACCUUGGUAAGGUUCUUCGUUUGAUAUCGAAUUAAGACACAUAAUCCACUGCUUGUGCGAGUCCCCGUCUAUUCCUUUGAGUUUUAAUCUUGCGAUCGUACUACCCAGGCGGCUCGCUUACCGCGUUAGCUUAGUCUCACAGAGGGUCGAUACUCCGUAAAACGAGCGAGCAACGUUGAGGGCCAGGACUAC
rnacentral:misc_RNA from 1 species